UCAAAAACAUGUCUUUAUGAGUGAAAUUUAAAGUCUCGCCUGCCCACUGAGUUUUAAAGGGCUGCGGUAAUUUGACCGUGCAAAGGUAGCAUAAUCAUUAGUCUUUUAAUUGAAGGCUGGAAUGAACGGCUGGAUGAGGGAUUAACUGUCUCAAAUACAAUUUAUAAGUUGACUUUUAAGUGAAAAGGCUUAAAUUAUUUAAAGGGACGAUAAGACCCUAUAAAACUUGACACUCCACUGUGUUUAGCUUUAAAUUUUAAUCUAAAAUUGUAAGGGUAGCUGUGUGUUUUGUUGGGGAGACAUUGAUAUAAGUAGUAACUGUCUGAUCAAAAAUUAUAAUUAUAAUUAGUAUAUGAUCCCUAUUUUAGGAUUAUAAGAAUAAGUUACUUUAGGGAUAACAGCGUAAUUUUCUCUGAGAGUUCUUAUCGAAGAGAGUAGUUGCGACCUCGAUGUUGAAUUAAAAUUUCUUUUAGGUGUAGCCGCUUAAUAAGUAGGUCUGUUCGACCUUUAAAAUUUUACAUGAUUUGAGUUCAAACCGGUGUGAGCCAGGUUG
rnacentral:rRNA from 1 species